rnacentral:rRNA from 1 species
CCUACGGGAGGCAGCAGUCGAGAAUCAUUCACAAUGGGGGAAACCCUGAUGGUGCGACGCCGCGUGGGGGAAUGAAGGUCUUCGGAUUGUAAACCCCUGUCAUGUGGGAGCAAAUUAAAAAGAUAGUACCACAAGAGGAAGAGACGGCUAACUCUGUGCCAGCAGCCGCGGUAAUACAGAGGUCUCAAGCGUUGUUCGGAAUCACUGGGCGUAAGGCGUGCGUAGGCUGUUUCGUAAGUCGGGUGUGAAAGGCGCGGGCUCAACCCGCGGACGGCACAUGAUACUGCGAGACUAGAGUAAUGGAGGGGGAACCGGAAUUCGCGGUGUAGCAGUGAAAUGCGUAGAUAUCGAGAGGAACACUCGUGGCGAAGGCGGGUUCCUGGACAUUAACUGACGCUGAGGCACGAAGGCCAGGGGAGCGAAAGGGAUUAGAUACCCCAGUAGUC